rnacentral:misc_RNA from 1 species
CCAAAACUUAGCUGCUCCAGUUCAGGCUGGUUGCACGCUUCAACCCUUUGUGAACCAAAAAACCUUUACGCUUCGGCAGCUGGUUCCAGCUGUAAGCCUGCCGAUGGCACCCAUUUAAACCUGUCGUUAAAUAUUUGUCUGAACUAAAUAUUUUCGAAUGAAAAUUA